rnacentral:rRNA from 1 species
UACGUAGGGGGCUAGCGUUGUCCGGAAUCAUUGGGCGUAAAGCGCGCGUAGGCGGCCCGGUAAGUCCGCUGUAAAAGUCCAGGGCUCAACCCUGGAACGCCGGUGGAUACUGUCGGCUAGAGUCCGGAAGAGGCGAGUGGAAUUCCUGGUGUAGCGGUGGAAUGCGCAGAUAUCGGAGGAACACCAGUGGCGAAGGCGACUACCUGGCCUGUCUUGACGCUGAGGCGCGAAAGCUAGGGAGCAACGGGG